AAACUCCUGUAAUGUUCGAUACCCUGUUAUUUUGAACCUACAAUUUACGUUCGGGAGACGAAAAUUACUCUAUUAAGCUAAUGUUAGGCCGCAAGCUAAUUCCCUUUGGGCAGCGGAAAACAGGACUUAAAUAGAUAGUCACCCACCUAGCUUAGCUAGGGCGUCAAAAUUUCAGGAACGGCAUUUUGGGACAAUG
rnacentral:other from 1 species